UUAAGACGAGGAUGCAUGUAGCAGGGACUUGCUCUUGUUCUGAGACAUCAGGGCAUAUCUCGCUUGAGAAUAUCUCGUCUCUGGUCGAAGCCGACUUAAAUUUUGAAAUUCUACCUCGUGUGCAUGUGCCUGGUGACAUUAGGAUGGCCUGCGACCUGUUGAAGGAAGGAAUUUCUUGAGAAGCUGCAGGGAGUUCCUACAAUCACCCUUGUGAUACCCGUGUUUGCAGGUACAUGCUCAAUAUUUUUACCAUUAUUUAGACGUGCUCCUGUUGAAUGGUUUCCGUGUAAAUGCUGUAUGUUUCCCCACUUGAGUGAUCAUUGUGGACUCAUGUGUAAUUAGUUAUUGGCAGAUAGGAUGAUUGGUCACUCUGUGGUCCGAAUUACGACGCAAGACAAGCCUUGGAGCUUCUUCCCUAUGUUUAAUCUCCAAUAAAUGGAUCGCCCAAUUUUCGGGACAAUGAAUGCCGCUAGAUAUUGCUUUUUAUCGUGGAUGCUACUCAGGGCAGCGUUCUUAGACGCCUCAAUUUUCAAAGGGAAAGAGAUUAUUCCAGAAAGGUUUCUUGAAUUUUCAACCUUUCAGUUUAUAGAGAAAGUACAAUUAUUUGCAAAUAUAACAAAGUUUAGUUGACCUAGUCAUCUUGGAUCCACAGAACUGCAUCAUGCUCUCUUGUCACAUCAGGCUGUCGUUCCAUAAUCAUCUUACAUAGUGUUCUUACGAUAUUUUACGAUGGCAGUGGAUAGAUUAACUUGGAAAGUUCAGUCAAUACUGAGGUUCGCUGUCUCAUGUGACCAACCAUUGGAAUUUUCGGAUCCUUCAAAUAUCUUGAGUUCGACAUGAGGAGCAUAUGUAAAUGGUCUCGAUUAUUACAGAGAUUCUCUUGUUAAUUUAUAAUUUUAGUGUAUCCUUAUCGGUCAGCCUUUUCAUGGCUGGGAGAUAGGGUCAAAGGAUAUUGUAUUUGGAUGGACUGUAGUUUCGUUAUUAUGUAUUCGUGUUAAACAGGAAGACUAGUUUUAAUCAGAUUUUCUAUGUUGCUUGCUCAAUGUACUUAGAUUUUGUCCCUUUUGGAGAUGAAAGGAGUGCCGCCUCUGUCCUUAACAUGUCAGAAUCUGAUUCUGCAUGGACUGGUUAGUCAUUGGGACCUUCCCGGGAUAGCAUAAUAUCUCCUAAGUUCACAGUGCCUGGAAAAAUUAGUCCUACACCUAACUGGCUGUCCAAUGUUGAAGGUUUGUUCCUUUACCAUGAUACUUUCAGUUUGAUGACUUCCUCUUUGGACUAAUAUUUAAACAGUGAGUUAAAACUUUAGAAGGACAUAAAGAUGAUCUAUCUUGAAUUCUUAUUUGUUCCAGCAUUUGAAAUUUGCUCAUAACUUUGUCAGUCUACUUCUUUCUUAUUUUCUCUUUGCCUUUUUUCCUUUCCCGUCUUUUUUCUACUUCUUAUUUCUUACAAUAAUCUACACCGUCUGUUAUUUUUCCUUUUCCCUUUUCUCUUUUCCUGCUUUUUUUCUACUUCUUCGUUACAAUAAUCUGCACUAACUGUUUUUUAGCCAGCAUUACUCAUUCUCUCAAAUUGAAGACCGCCACCUUCAAUAUGAGGUAGGCCACCUACAUCGUGUCUUAAUAUAACUAUGUUGUGACCUCAUCAGGACGUAAUUGUCAUUAAUGAUCUAUUUUUAAAGCCCAAAUACGAAUAGUUUAUUAAAGGCCUUACAUGCCAUGAUGUGGUUAGCACAUUUAAGAUAUUAAUUCCCACAUACAUACGCAAAAAUGUGUCUAAACGUUUAUUAACGUGUCCAAACUUAUCUAAUCAUGUGGGGUCCACACACGUAAUACUAACGUGUUUAAUUAAAUGUAUCUACAUAUGCGAUGAAAGCGUCGAAAGGUUUCCUUUGUGACAGCAUGUUUAUCACAUAUGUUUAAACAUACAUGUCCACCUAAUUUUCUGCCACCCGUGUAAACAAAUCAUGUUGAAAAUUGUGGACCUUAGUUGGAGGUGAUACGGCUCCAAAGUAUGUUCAGGGGUAAAGGGGCAAGGUGUGGCAUCAACCAAGGUGGAGUUUACCGAGGAAGAGGUCCUGAAAUUUGAUGAUGAGAAAAGAAAUAUUAAGUGGAUUACUGUAUCAAGUAAGUUUUGUGUUCCUUUUUUCUCUGAGCUUAAGUUUUUAUUUUGGUCAUUUCAAUUCUUUUUCACAUAAAGAUCAUUUAAUUUGUAUGAAGCAGACAGUGCAAAAGAACUCAAAAGACAAAAUUCUGACCAAGAAAAUUUUCAGCCACAAAAAUAGGAAAAAGGCUGAAAAGAAAUUUGGAGGACGAACUCCAGUAGUCAAAAAUGGAUAGGAAAUCAAAGCAAAUUUCUAAGCAGGUAGACUGUAAAAUCGAGAUCGAUCAAUUUAAUUUGACCUCCUUUCGAUUAAAGAAAAGAGAUCAAUUCUGUGAAAAAUUAAAAAGGAAAAAAGGAAGAAAGAAAAAACAAUAUCAGUUAAAAGGGCAACGUGACUUCAGUCCCGGUCGCCUAUAAAUCCUUAGAAAAACUUUGAAUCCAUGGCACAUAGGAGACCUCCACAUGCGGUGCCAUCCACUGCGAAUCCUCUGGCAAGUGGCCAGAUCGCACUAGAUGACACUGGCCUCCUCCUCCUCCUCCUCCUCCUCCUCCUCUGAAGUGAAGCAGGACUCCAAGGAUCUCAUUAGUGCCCUGCCAAACACCAUGGUCCACCACAUCUCAGUUGCUGCAGUUUCUCAUUGGGUAGGAGGAUUAGGUGGCCUCGUCUUAAAGGUGUUGUCGAUUGCAUAUUCGGAUUGGAGUGAUGAUAUCCUUAUGGGGAUUUUCAGGGGAAGUCCUGUUCUAGAGUCUCUUCACUUUUGCUAUCUUUAUUGUUUCACGAAUCAUCUAAGUAAUUUUUUUUCUUGUGCCUCAAUCCUUUAUAUAGGUUCUACUGAUCAUCUGAAGAUACCAAUCACCGGAUAUAGUUUGAUGUGGACCUCCAGGUCCAUAUCUUGGCACAGGCAGACAUAUGUCAUGCUUGUUUUACAUUUAUAUUGAACUAUUUUGUCCAAUAUCUUCUCUCUUUAACAGUCUUUGCCUUCAGGGUGGUCUAGUUCCUAUACAUGAUCUUCAAAAUGGCUAGUGGAUUUCGGGCCUUCAGGCUUGAUCGGAUGCAGGAAAUGGUUUCUCUUUACACCCGUUUCUGCCAAUGGCUGCUUCUUCUUCGGGGCCCCAAAGAUUUGAGGGUCCCGAGGAUAAUGAUGCAGGAUUUCAUUUGAGGGAUAUCAUAGGCCUCCACCUUUUGUGGCUAAAGCUUGACAGCAUAUUUACUUCUCAUUAUUGAAUGACUUUGUGAUUGUGCUAAUUCAAUCAAAAUAUUGGGCUCUAGAAGAUCCUCCAUUGGGUUUUUUCAUGUUCCUGUUCUUCAUUUUCUUCCCAAAGUCUCACUGGAGGCUCUAGGGCCCGAUGUUCAGAAUUUUUGUGGGGUAAAAAUGUCCUUUUUUAUUUCAACUUCUUGGACAAGCUAAGAUUAUGCUAUCUUGAAGUUUUUGUUGCCAGUUUCAGCAGCCACACUCUUUUCUGCUUUACCUUUAUGAUGUACUUAGAUCAAAUGGUUCCAUGUUUAAUUAGACCGAUUAGAGUAGAUAUUUUAGUAGCUUUAACUAUAUAUAUGUGUACUCCCUUUUGAUAACCUCAACAAGUUACCAUUGCCAUUGGUUUA